UACGUAGGGAGCAAGCGUUGUCCGGAAUCAUUGGGCGUAAAGCGCGCGUAGGCGGCCCGAUAAGUCCGCUGUGAAAGUCAACGGCUCAACUGUUGGAUGCCGGUGGAUACUGUAGGGCUAGAGUCCGGAAGAGGCGAGUGGAAUUCCUGGUGUAGCGGUGGAAUGCGCAGAUAUCAGGAGGAACACCAACGGCGAAGGCAGCUCGCUGGGACGGUACUGACGCUAAGGCGCGAAAGCGUGGGGAGCGAACAGG
rnacentral:rRNA from 1 species